UGAGUAACUGCGCUCCUGAGCUAUUGUACCGGUUUUCCAUGGUUUGCUUUAAUCGGCAGGCUGUGGUGGCUGGUGUGUUUACCUUGAAUAAAUCAAAAUGCUCAAGAUAGGCGUCUCGCCUGAAUGACAGUGCAUGGAAUAAUGGAAUAAGACUUCGGUUUAUUCUGUUGGUCUUGGAACCGAUGUAAUGGUUAAGAGGGACUGACGGGGGCAUUUGUAUCGAUGCGUGAGAGGUGAAAUUCUUGGACCGCAUCGAGACAAACUACUGCGAAAGCAUUUGCCAAGAAUGUCUUCAUUAAUCAAGAACGAAAGUCAGAGGAUCGAAGGCGAUUAGAUACCGCCCUAGUUCUGACCGUAAACGAUGCCAACUAGCGAUCAGGCGGUGGCUAUUAAACCCUGCCUGGGAGCUUCCCGGAAACGAAAGUCUUCGGGUUCCGGGGGUAGUAUGGUUGCAAAGCUGAAACUUAAAGGAAUUGACGGAAGGGCACCACCAGGAGUGGAGCCUGCGGCUUAAUUUGACUCAACACGGGAAAACUCACCCGGCCCGGACACUGUAAUGAUUGACAGAUUGAGAGUUCUUUCUUGAUUCGGUGGUUGGUGGUGCAUGGCCGUUCUUAGUUGGUGGAGUGAUUUGUCUGGUUUAUUCCGAUAACGAACGAGACUCUAACCUGCUAAAUAGUUCUGCAGUAGCUUCGCUGCAGCAACUUCUUAGAGGGAUCAGUGG
rnacentral:rRNA from 1 species